rnacentral:rRNA from 1 species
GNUCGACGCUGGCGGCAGGCUUANCACAUGCAAGUCGAGCGGGCAUAGCAAUAUGUCAGCGGCAGACGGGUGAGUAACGCGUGGGAACGUACCUUUUGGUUCGGAACAACACAGGGAAACUUGUGCUAAUACCGGAUAAGCCCUUACGGGGAAAGAUUUAUCGCCGAAAGAUCGGCCCGCGUCUGAUUAGCUAGUUGGUGAGGUAAUGGCUCACCAAGGCGACGAUCAGUAGCUGGUCUGAGAGGAUGAUCAGCCACAUUGGGACUGAGACACGGCCCAAACUCCUACGGGAGGCAGCAGUGGGGAAUAUUGGACAAUGGGCGCAAGCCUGAUCCAGCCAUGCCGCGUGAGUGAUGAAGGCCCUAGGGUUGUAAAGCUCUUUUGUGCGGGAAGAUAAUGACGGUACCGCAAGAAUAAGCCCCGGCUAACUUCGUGCCAGCAGCCGCGGUAAUACGAAGGGGGCUAGCGUUGCUCGGAAUCACUGGGCGUAAAGGGUGCGUAGGCGGGUCUUUAAGUCAGGGGUGAAAUCCUGGAGCUCAACUCCAGAACUGCCUUUGAUACUGAAGAUCUUGAGUUCGGGAGAGGUGAGUGGAACUGC